rnacentral:misc_RNA from 1 species
GAACUUAGUCCCCUUCUUGAGCUCCUCUUCGCUAGACCACCAUCACUGUCACUUCUAACCCUCACACAUUCUCCAACACUACUAGGCUCAUUGCCUCUAUUGGCCUGAAGAACUUCUGGUCUACUUCACCAAUCGGCGGCGUCAGAAUUAAUGUCGAAGAUGAGCUAUAAGCCGGCGACGAUGACGGUUUGGACAAGUUCAGGUUCAGUGAUGGUGCAAAUCAGAGAAUCUAGUAGUCUAAUGAUAACGACUAUAGUUGGAUCAAUGAUGAUGAGGAGAAUGAGUUAUGGAUUUUCAAGGUAAUUAGACCUUUCGGUUGGAUGGUUCCUGCCAUUGGUACUUCAUUGCUACUGGGAAUAGGCCCUAAAUCUUUCUUCAUUGCAUUACCUGUUCCAUUAGGACUGGCAACACUCUCUCUUUUGUGAUUGAUAAGAUGUGGGAAGUAAACCAGGAGGACUAAGAAGUUUGGUGGGUGGGAUGAGCUAGAUAUGCUGAUAAGGUUCCAAGAGAGACAACAAGAAAGAAGGCAGAUGAGCUCCCAAAGCAA